rnacentral:rRNA from 1 species
AUUGAACGCUGGCGGCAGGCCUAACACAUGCAAGUCGAACGAGUGGCGGACGGGCGAGUAAUGUCUGGGAAACUGCCUGAUGGAGGGGGAUAACUACUGGAAACGGUAGCUAAUACCGUAUACCAUCAGAUGUGCCCAGGUGGGAUUUGCUAGUUGGUGGGGUAACGGCUAACUAAGGCGACGAUCCCUAGCUGGUCUGCGAGGAUGACCAGCCACACUGGAACUGAGACACGGUCCAGACGCCGACGGGAGGCAUCAGUGGAGAAUAUUGCACAAUGGGCGCAAGCCUGAUGCGGCCAUGCCGAGUGUAUGAAGAAGGCCUUCGGGUUGUAAAGUACUUUCAGCGGGGAGUCGUUACCCGCAGAAGAAGCACCGGCUAACUCCGUGCCAGCAGCCGCGGUAAUUC